rnacentral:tRNA from 1 species
UAGUAAAUAGUUUAAUUAAAAACAAAUGAUUUCGACUCAUUAAAUUAUGAAUAAAUCAUAUUUACUAA